rnacentral:rRNA from 1 species
CUAAGGCCGAUGGCGACCGGCGCACGGGUGAGUAACACGUAUCCAACCUGCCGAUGACUCGGGGAUAGCCUUUCGAAAGAAAGAUUAAUACCCGAUGGCAUAGUUCUUCCGCAUGGUAGAACUAUUAAAGAAUUCGGUCAUCGAUGGGGAUGCGUUCCAUUAGGUUGUUGGCGGGGUAACGGCCCACCAAGCCUUCGAUGGAUAGGGGUUCUGAGAGGAAGGUCCCCCACAUUGGAACUGAGACACGGUCCAAACUCCUACGGGAGGCAGCAUG